UUAUAGAAAUGUCGCCCGAGGAAGUUGUAGCUAUUAGACAAAGUAAUAGGCACGUUGGGGUCGCGACUAAACUUGGUGACAAAUAACGCAACACCACGCAUCACUGGCGCGGGACAAAUGCGCUCACUCUCGAAGCGGGAGCAAGCAACAUGCCCCGCGUCACGUAUAAUGUUGCGGGACACUAUGCAACGUUGCAGCGUCAGCCAGAAAACUUGACAUCACGUGUGUAGCCACAUCAUCGCCGAAAUAAGGUGAAGCUAAGAGUAAACCCUUGAUUUGAUCAUAAAAGGACAAUUGACCAAUAGUCAUCAGAGCUGCUCUACUACAUGUCAUAGAAGCUCCUGCCCAUAAACGUAGAAUACCCUCCUGAGCUGCUACACGAUACAGGCCAUGAAUAGCAUUUUUAUAGCUAAAACAUUUUGUUUAUCUUUUAGAUAAUGUUGACUUCAUAUACUGCAAAGAAAUCUUAUAAUUUAAUAUUAUUUUAUUAAAUACAAUACACACUUUCUUCUUUGCUCA